AGGGUUGUGAUGUAACUGGGGCCGGUUUCGAGGCGUGGUGGGCGGUAAUAUUAGUAAAAAUAAUACUAUCCCCGACUACGCCUCGGAAUUGGUUUUGGUGUUUUCACACAAAC